rnacentral:lncRNA from 1 species
CCAAACCCUACCCAAUACCCAAUCGGAUAAGAAAAGAGAUACCCAUCCCCAUACCCAACGGGUUCGGAGAUACCCGUGGGUAACCCAUUUCCCCAUACCCAAUCCAUACCCGCCCCAUACCCAACCCAUACCCGUCCAUUCUAUACCAAAAAAAAAAGUAAAUAAUUUUAUGCAUAUUAUCAAUCAAAAAUAGAAUUACCAAUUAUAUAUAUAUACAUACAUACAUACGCACAUACACACUUCUAACACACACACACAUACAUACAUGCAUACAUAUAUGCAUGCAUACAUAUACAUACAUACAUAUAUAUAAUUAUAUAUAUAUAUAUAUAGAGNNNNNN